GACGAACGCUGGCGGCGUGCUUAACACAUGCAAGUCGAACGGAAAGGCCCUGCUUUUGUGGGGUGCUCGAGUGGCGAACGGGUGAGUAACACGUGAGUAACCUGCCCUUGACUUUGGGAUAACUUCAGGAAACUGGGGCUAAUACCGGAUAGGAGCUCCUGCUGCAUGGUGGGGGUUGGAAAGUUUCGGCGGUUGGGGAUGGACUCGCGGCUUAUCAGCUUGUUGGUGGGGUAGUGGCUUACCAAGGCUUUGACGGGUCGCCGGCCUGAGAGGGUGACCGGCCACAUUGGGACUGAGAUACGGCCCAGACUCCUACGGGAGGCAGCAGUGGGGAAUAUUGCACAAUGGGCGGAAGCCUGAUGCAGCAACGCCGCGUGCGGGAUGACGGCCUUCGGGUUGUAAACCGCUUUCGCCUGUGACGGAGCGUGAGUGACGGUAAUGGGUAAAGAAGCACCGGCUAACUACGUG
rnacentral:rRNA from 1 species